rnacentral:rRNA from 1 species
UGGGGAAUCUUGCACAAUGGGGGAAACCCUGAUGCAGCGACGCCGCGUGAACGAUGAAGCCCUUCGGGGUGUAAAGUUCUUUCGACAGGAACGAUAAUGACGGUACCUGGAGAAGAAGCUGCGGCUAACUACGUGCCAGCAGCCGCGGUAAUACGUAGGCAGCGAGCGUUGUUCGGAGUUACUGGGCGUAAAGAGUGCGUAGGCGGCGAGCCAAGUUUGGUGUGAAAUCUCCCGGCUUAACCGGGAGGGUGCGCCGAAAACUGGUUGGCUGGAGUAUGGGAGAGGACAGCGGAAUUCCUGGUGUAGCGGUGAAAUGCGUAGAUAUCAGGAGGAACACCUGCGGUGUAGACAGCUUUCUGGACCAAAACUGACGCUGAGGCACGAAAGCGUGGGUAGCAAACA